rnacentral:rRNA from 1 species
UACGUAGGGUGCGAGCGUUGUCCGGAAUUAUUGGGCCGUAAAGAGCUCGUAGGCGGUGUGUUACGUCGGCCGUGAAAACCUGCAGCUUAACUGUGGGCGUGCGGUCGAUACGGGCAUCACUGGAGUUCGGCAGGGGAGACUGGAAUUCCUGGUGUAGCGGUGAAAUGCGCAGAUAUCAGGAGGAACACCGGUGGCGAAGGCGGGUCUCUGGGCCGAUACUGACGCUGAGGAGCGAAAGCGUGGGGGAGCAAACAGG